rnacentral:tRNA from 1 species
CGGGAUGUGGCGCAGCUUGGUAGCGCACCUGCUUUGGGAGCAGGGGGUCGUGGGUUCGAAUCCCGCCAUCCCGA